rnacentral:rRNA from 1 species
UACGGAGGGUGCAAGCGUUAAUCGGAAUUACUGGGCGUAAAGCGCACGCAGGUGGCUGAGUCAGUCGAUUGUGAAAGCCCUGGGCUUAACCUGGGAAUUGCAGUCGAUACUACUCAGCUAGAGUAUGGGAGAGGGUAGUGGAAUUCCCGGUGUAGCGGUGAAAUGCGUAGAUAUCGGGAGGAACAUCAGUGGCGAAGGCGGCUUCCUGGACCAGAACUGACGAUCAGGCACGAAAGCGUGGGGAGCAAACAGG